CCUACGGGCGGCAGCAGUGAGGAAUAUUGGUCAAUGGACGAGAGUCUGAACCAGCCAAGUAGCGUGAAGGAUGACUGCCCUAUGGGUUGUAAACUUCUUUUAUCUGGGAAUAAAACAGGGUAUGCAUACCCUCUUGUAUGUACCAUAUGACUAAGGAUCGGCUAACUCCGUGCCAGCAGCCGCGGUAAUACGGAGGAUCCGAGCGUUAUCCGGAUUUAUUGGGUUUAAAGGGAGCGUAGGUGGAUUGUUAAGUCAGUUGUGAAAGUUUGCGGCUCAACCGUAAAAUUGCAGUUGAAACUGGCAGUCGUGAGUACAGUAGAGGUGGGCGGAAUUCGUGGUGUAGCGGUGAAAUGCUUAGAUAUCACGAAGAACUCCGAUUGCGAAGGCAGCUCACUGGACUGCAACUGACACUGAUGCUCGAAAGUGUGGGUAUCAAACAGGAUUAGAUACCCCUGUAGUC
rnacentral:rRNA from 1 species